AUACGGGGAUUUUUAAUUCAAGUGGCGGACGGGUGAGUAACACGUAAGAAUUUGCCUUUAGGAGGGGGACAACAACUGGAAACGGUUGCUAAUACCCCAUAUGCUUUCGAGUGAAAUGGAUUUUUCCGCCUAAAGAGAAGCUUGCGGCUGAUUAGCUUGUUGGUGAGGUAAUGGCUCACCAAGGCGACGAUCAGUAUCUGGUUUGAGAGGAUGAUCAGACACACUGGAACUGAGACACGGUCCAGACUCCUACGGGAGGCAGCAGUGGGGAAUUUUCCGCAAUGGGCGAAAGCCUGACGGAGCAAUCUCGCGUGAGGGAUGACGGCCUAUGGGUUGUAAACCUCUUUUUUCAGGGAGGAACAAAAUGACGUGUACCUGAAGAAUAAGCAUCGGCUAACUCCGUGCCAGCAGCCGCGGUAAGACGGAGGAUGCAAGUGUUAUCCGGAAUCACUGGGCGUAAAGCGUCUGUAGGUGGUUUGAUAAGUCAACUGUUAAAUCUUGAAGCUCAACUUCAAAAUCGCAGUCGAAACUAUUAGACUAGAGUAUAGUAGGGGUAAAGGGAAUUUCCAGUGGAGCGGUGAAAUGCGUAGAUAUUGGAAAGAACACCGAUGGCGAAGGCACUUUACUGGGCUAUUACUGACACUCAGAGACGAAAGCUAGGGUAGCAAAUGGGAUUAGAUACCCCAGUAGUCCUAGCCGUAAACAAUGGAUACUAGAUGUUGAACAGAUCGACCUGUGCAGUAUUAAAGCUAACGCGUUAAGUAUCCCGCCUGGGAAGUAUGCUCGCAAGAGUG
rnacentral:rRNA from 1 species